UUCUCGACGAUGGCCAUAGAUAACUAUCUACCUCCCUCCCUCCCUCCCUCCUACCCUCCUUCUCUCUCUCUCUCUCUUCUUCGAUGGGUCUACUCUGUCUCAUUUUCCUUUGCGAGCUCGUUCAUUCAGAACGCGAAAUCAAUGAACGUUAUUUUUGGCGAAGACCGGCGUCAGCAAUGAAUCGACCUGACGUCCACGACCUGAUCAUACGUUGGUAUAUAGAGAAAGUCCGAUAUAAUCGUGGAUCGCCAGAGAGUUGGAAACUGUAAACAAGGCUAAAGAUCUUUCGACAGACGAAUGCGGCGCCAACGUUACGCUGACGCAACACGUAAAAGGGGAGUAAAUGGGAGACGAUGUGUCUCCCGUGCGAAAGCCAACGUCGGUAUUAUCCCGAAUUUGCAGGAAACACAGUCGACGGCCUCUUCUCGCUCGAACAAAUCUAAUUUUAUCACGAGACGCAGCAAAGUUUCAACGUUCCGACGUUGUACGAACCGUACACAUACAUACACAUAUACAUACACAUAUACAUACACAUAUACAUAUCAACGUGUACAUAUGUAAGACACGUAUAAAGGAAGAAGAGCAUAUGUUCAUUAAAAGAGGAAAAAAAAAAAAAAAAAAAAAGAAAUAAAAAAUUGAAAGAAUAAAAAAGACCGAUUAGUUAGUAAAAAAUAUUUAUCAUCGAAUUUACUUAAAAUAUUUCAUUUUUACUAAGAUUUCACAGAUUCGAAGGAGGGGGAAGGAAAGGGGGGGGGGGUAGUUAAGAUCGUUACGAAGAUCAUGGAAGGUCCGUCGUAAAACGAAACGAGAAGGGAGAAGAGAAAAAUGAAAAAGACCGAGAAGAGAUUCGCAAAAUCAGUGUGGCCAAAAAAAAA